UAGUCCACGCUGUAAACGAUGAGUGCUAGAUGUCGGGGGAGUUAACCCCUUCGGUGUCGUAGCUAACGCGUUAAGCACUCCGCCUGGGGAGUACGACCGCAAGGUUGAAACUCAAAGGAAUUGACGGGGGCCCGCACAAGCGGUGGAACAUGUGGUUUAAUUCGAUGCAACGCGCAGAACCUUACCUGGGCUUGACAUCCUCGGAAUUUCCUAGAGAUAGGGAAGUACCCUUCGGGGGGACCGAGUGACAGGUGCUGCACGGCUGUCGUCAGCUCGUGUCGUGAGAUGUUGGGUUAAGUCCCGCAACGAGCGCAACCCCUGUCAACAGUUGCUACCAAGUAAUGUUGGGCACUCUGUUGAGACUGCCGGUGUGAAACCGGNGGAAGGUGGGGACGACGUCAAGUCAUCAUGGCCUUUAUGUCCAGGGCUACACACGUGUUACAAUGGCCGGUACAGAGGGUUGCGAAGCCGCGAGGUGGAGCCAAUCCCGCAAAACCGGUCCCAGUUCAGAUUGGAGUCUGCAACUCGA
rnacentral:rRNA from 1 species